AUAUAUCUAGGCAAAUUGCCUAGAAGUGAAUCCCCUCUCCUGCUUAAGUCCUUCCCACAGAGAGCGGUUUGAUAUGUCACUGAAACCAGCAUCCAGGUGGUAUUGCUCCAUAUGCCUGAGACCCUAACAAAAGCCUAAUUACAACUCAUAUGCCUGGAGCCAGGACAUGUGCAGGAUGGUGAUGUAACUUUCCUCUCUGGAAUGGGUCCUGCACAAAGGAAUGAUAGUAACAUAUUGCAAAGCCAGACACACAGCCAUGAUGGUCCAAGUUAUAUUGGGAUUCAGCCAAUAGAAGAUAUUUUGCCUGUCAUCCCUAAGCUUAGGACAAUAGGAACAUUGUGACAUUGCUGGACGUAGCAUCUAGGAAAUGUACUCUCCUCUCCUGCCUAGGCCCUGCCCACUAAAGGAAUUGUGACAUACCACUGAGUGCAAAACCUAGACUCUGCCAAGAGAGGGGAUUAUUACAUAUUGCAGAGCCCAGCACCUAGGUGGAGUGACUCUCAUCUUUUUCUUCUACCCCGUAUAUAGCCAGCUUGGUGACCUACUAUUUGAGUCUAUACCCAGGCCCAGACCACAGAUGAAAUUGUGCAAUAUGUGGAACAAACACCUAAACAAUAUAUAACACCUUCCUUGGCUCUGUCUACAAAGGGCACUUUUAUAUAUCACUGGGACCAUCAACCAGGUGAUGUUAAUUAUCUUCCUGAAACCUGUCUACAAAGAGAGUUGUGUCGUAUACCUAGGCCCGUCAUGUGAUAUAACCCUCUUCUCUGGAAUGGGCCCCACACAAAGGAAGGAUAGUGACAUAUUGCAAGCCCAGGCACACAGGCCCAGAGCACAGUUGAAAUUGUGACAUAUGUACACCAAGCAACCAAGCAAUGUAUAACACCUCAUUUGGCAAUGGAAUCGAGGGCACUUUUACAUAUCACUGAGACCAGCGCCCAGCUGAUGUGAAAUAUUGGCCUGAACCCUGCCUACAAAAGCAUUGUGGCUUUUAUCUAGCUCCAUUACAUAAGUGAUGUGACUUCCUUCUACUGCCUUGGCCCUGCACUUAUGGUGAAUCGUGACACAAAAUUGGGUAGAGCAACCAGCCUGGGCCCUGACCAGCACAGAGAUUGAGGCAUAUUGCUGAACCCAGGACCAAGAUGAAGUCACUCUCCUGCCUUGAUCCUGCACACAGGGACCCUUGUGACAUAUAUACAGGCCAAUUGCCUAGGUGAUGUUGUGCAAUAUACCUGAGACCA
rnacentral:lncRNA from 1 species